UUUUUUUUUUUUUUUUUUACUUAGAUAUUAAAAUGAGUGGAAUGGAAUGGCCACUUGGUGGCAAAGCUGAACAGGAAGCAAAAUGUGAUUCUGCUUUUCAGAAAUGGUUUUAUUUGCCUUGCAUUUGUGUGAGGUUUGUGGUAACCUCUCAGGACCCUACAGGCACACUGACUUCUGCCUGCAAGGCGACAUUUCUAUUUGUAACUGUAUUUUUAAGUUUCUGCAAUUGUAACGCUGUGGUUCUAGUGGAAAUUGUUCCAUUCUUUGAACACAAGAUGUAUUGAAUCGAUCAGCUUUGCUUUUACUGUGAUGUUAGAGUAGGUAUGUGGGGGCAAUGUGAAUGCCCCUUCCAGAGUCUCUAGUAGAUUUAGAGACAAUAUUACAUGAAAAACCUUCAAUGAGAGGCUAAAAGGCUUAAGUGUCGUUCUGUACUCUAUUAAUUUAAGAGUUCUGUACUCUCCUUAAUUUAAGUUCUGAUACUGUUCUAAUGACAAAGGCAAAUGCUGUAAGUUUCAUUGAGCCAAAGUGGAAAAUUAACAAAUUUUUAUUGUUGUUAAAAAAUUAACAACAAUAAAACCCCAAGGUAACUGCUAGGUAACUUCUCUUUAUAACUAUUGUUAUGCAAAAGAUAGUCAUUCAAAAUAUCAUCGUUAAUGUUUAAAGGAGGUGUGGUGUGUAGGGAAAGUUAUCACAUCAUCCUGAUGUAUUUAUGGGAAAAGAACAGCGAGUUUUUGGCUGUAUGAGAUUUUUUUUCAGGUGUUGCCUGGCUAUAACUAGAAGCAUUUCAGUGUGCAGGCACUAGCUGUGCUAUCUAGAAGCUGAUGAUGUCUCCUUCUGUCAUAGUAUCAUAACAAAAUAAAAUUAUGCUAUACUUUUUCCCCAACCAGAGCUCUAUCUGUGUCAGCCCCUUUCUCUUCAUACCCCAGGGAGACGAGACGCAUGUUGGCUGUGGGCUCAUGAGGAAUGUGAGUGGCUGAAAGAACCUCAGAGGCAUUUCUCUUGCUGCUGCACUUCAGGUGAUUUCUGUGAGCUGAAUUAGUGCUGUCCUACAGGCAACUGCCUUGGUACAACUGAGAAUACACUGAACUGGAGGGGAGAGGAUGAAGCUGACAGCUGGUGCAAAGGAGAGCAGGACCUUAAUUUUUUUUCAUCAGUAAAGCUAAUCUAAUAUGGAAGAGGUUAUUAAAAAAUGACUAGAUUACCUUGGA